rnacentral:lncRNA from 1 species
GCAAACCAGCCGUUGGCCGUUGGGCCGCGCGUAGAUGGCGGAAGGCCUGCACCUGCCUUCCCCCGCCCCCCACCAAGUGGGGCACCCUGGCAUCCGCCGCUUUCAUCCCCAGCAGCAAGAGCCCGUACAUACACAUCCUACUGAUCAAGGCCAUGUUUACAAAUUCCACGGCAAGUACCCCUGAAUGCCGACCGCCCGUGUUGUGGCCCAACCCACAUGCACGCGGCUCUCACACGCGGCGUGCACAGCCACAGCGACAGUCUCACAUGUGCACAGGCUCAGCUAGCUUCCCAAGCAGCACAUGACAAACAUAAAUGCACAAACAAAUCAUACAUGUGCCCCUGCACCAGCAAAGCAUUUCAACACCCUGCGCAGCGUGCCUGCGCAGGCUCAGCCUGAAAUUGUCUGCAUAGGCCACGCCAGGGCCCAGGGGCCACGCCACAGAGCGCGGCAACGACGUGGCUUUCCAAGAUGCUCUGCACCCCUGCAUGCUGGGAAUCAAUUAUAAUCCCGCCACACACACGCAACGCUUGUUUGCCGUUUGCAAUGUGGUGUCAUGCCUGGCUUGGAAUCACCGCAAUUGUUGCACAACCGGCCGCGCAGCCACGGGAGGCGCCGCAACACCCGCAUCCACCUCCUCCCUUCCCUCCCUUACUCCCCCUUCCCUCCCUCUCACCCUGCAUCACCGCUGCCGCCGCUCGGCAAGCCAGUCACGAGCCCGGCGUGCGACCGGGCGCAGCCCGGCUGCCGGCGUCAUAUUACGGGAAACAUAGGUGACACGUCAGCUGCUGUGCACAAGAGGGUUCAGGGCAUGUGGUUGAGGGCGCGCAGGAGUGCAUGCCUUUAUUUUGUGGGCGUGCGUGUGGGCGUGCCCGCCCGCUGCGGGGCAGCGUGUGCAGCACAACUGCCCCGGGGGCUGUGCGGCGCGCCUGCCCCACCCCGCGGUGUCAAGCUACACUAGGUGGCAUGCAUACACGGCACUCAGUCCGACAUACCUAGCGGUGCCCUGACCACACGGUGGCCGGGCGCCCGGAAGCCCCUCCCGGCGCUGUGCCCAUAGACGGGCCCAGCGCCUGUGUGGCGGCCCCACAAAUGCCCCAACCUGCUUGGACUAGGCUGGUGACCAUAGACGCAUGCCCACAGCAUACUGGCUGGGCAGGGCGCACAUCGCUGGUUCGCGUGUGGGCAUGUCGGCAUGGUUUGCGGGUCCGCAUCUUGGAAUGAGUCAGCCUACCCCCACUUGAAGGUAUCUUGUUUGCGGUCUUUUACAUGAACGUAUAUGCUGAUAGGGAUAUGGAGGAACCGACGCCAGGAAAGUGGCGACUUUUAGCCUGACCUUGCGUGGCUCGCGCGAGGGUCGGUCGCGCUGGAAAGGCGAAAACAAUUCAGUGCACCACCCCCGGGGCCACUUGCUCCACACGCAACAAAGAUACACAUCAUAGAUGUAAUAUGAAAUACUCGCACAGGCAAGCAGCCGCAUGGCGCAGGUGUGCCACGCCGUGCCGUCGCCGGCCACCCUCGCCGCGCCACCUCGGGGCCACCGGGGCCCGCCCGGCCCCUCCGCCGCGUGCACAGUGGGCCCCUGGGCUCCCGGAUGGCUUUCACAAUGACACCAGCAGCCGCCGCUGAAGUCGCGCCCGGCAGGGCAUAGCACGCAGGAGCCCAGGCCGCGGCGCCACGGUGGGGCCCUGAGCGCUGCCCAGCCAGGCGAGCAGACACUCUUGUGCCAUAGACCGGCGCCCACAGGGGCCUGAAGGCUAUGUGACAAGGCUGUGAUAUACAUCAGGGAUAUAGGACAGCGAAAGGGGGGACGUAAAGCCCAUAUGAUGUACAAAAGUCCCUCUCACCUCCCUCUCACCCUGCAUCACCGCUGCCGCCGCUCGGCAAGCCAGUCACGAGCCCGGCGUGCGACCGGGCGCAGCCCGGCUGCCGGCGUCAUAUUACGGGAAACAUAGGUGACACGUCAGCUGCUGUGCACAAGAGGGUUCAGGGCAUGUGGUUGAGGGCGCGCAGGAGUGCAUGCCUUUAUUUUGUGGGCGUGCGUGUGGGCGUGCCCGCCCGCUGCGGGGCAGCGUGUGCAGCACAACUGCCCCGGGGGCUGUGCGGCGCGCCUGCCCCGCCCCGCGGUGUCAAGCUACACUAGGUGGCAUGCAUACACGGCACUCAGUCCGACAUACCUAGCGGUGCCCUGACCACACGGUGGCCGGGCGCCCGGAAGCCCCUCCGGGCGCAGUGCCCAUAGACGGGCCCAGCGCCUGUGUGGCGGCCCCACAAAUGCCCCAACCUGCUUGGACUAGGCUGGUGACCAUAGACGCAUGCCCACAGCAUACUGGCUGGGCAGGGCGCACAUCGCUGGUUCGCGUGUGGGCAUGUCGGCAUGGUUUGCGGGUCCGCAUCUUGGAAUGAGUCAGCCUACCCCCACUUGAAGGUAUCUUGUUUGCGGUCUUUUACAUGAACGUAUAUGCUGAUAGGGAUAUGGAGGAACCGACGCCAGGAAAGUGGCGACUUUUAGCCUGACCUUGCGUGGCUCGCGCGAGGGUCGGUCGCGCUGGAAAGGCGAAAACAAUUCAGUGCACCACCCCCGGGGCCACUUGCUCCACACGCAACAAAGAUACACAUCAUAGAUGUAGUAUGAAAUACUCGCACAGGCAAGCAGCCGCAUGGCGCAGGUGUGCCACGCCGUGCCGUCGCCGGCCACCCUCGCCGCGCCACCUCGGGGCCACCGGGGCCCGCCCGGCCCCUCCGCCGCGUGCACAGUGGGCCCCUGGGCUCCCGGAUGGCUUUCACAAUGACACCAGCAGCCGCCGCUGAAGUCGCGCCCGGCAGGGCAUAGCACGCAGGAGCCCAGGCCGCGGCGCCACGGUGGGGCCCUGAGCGCUGCCCAGCCAGGCGAGCAGACACUCUUGUGCCAUAGACCGGCGCCCACAGGGGCCUGAAGGCUAUGUGACAAGGCUGUGAUAUACAUCAGGGAUAUAGGACAGCGAAAGGGGGGACGUAAAGCCCAUACGAUGUACAAAAGUCCCUCUCACCUCCCUCUCACCCUGCAUCACCGCUGCCGCCGCUCGGCAAGCCAGUCACGAGCCCGGCGUGCGACCGGGCGCAGCCCGGCUGCCGGCGUCAUAUUACGGGAAACAUAGGUGACACGUCAGCUGCUGUGCACAAGAGGGUUCAGGGCAUGUGGUUGAGGGCGCGCAGGAGUGCAUGCCUUUAUUUUGUGGGCGUGCGUGUGGGCGUGCCCGCCCGCUGCGGGGCAGCGUGUGCAGCACAACUGCCCCGGGGGCUGUGCGGCGCGCCUGCCCCGCCCCGCGGUGUCAAGCUACACUAGGUGGCAUGCAUACACGGCACUCAGCCCGACAUACCUAGCGGUGCCCUGACCACACGGUGGCCGGGCGCCCGGAAGCCCCUCCGGGCGCAGUGCCCAUAGACGGGCCCAGCGCCUGUGUGGCGGCCCCACAAAUGCCCCAACCUGCUUGGACUAGGCUGGUGACCAUAGACGCAUGCCCACAGCAUACUGGCUGGGCAGGGCGCACAUCGCUGGUUCGCGUGUGGGCAUGUCGGCAUGGUUUGCGGGUCCGCAUCUUGGAAUGAGUCAGCCUACCCCCACUUGAAGGUAUCUUGUUUGCGGUCUUUUACAUGAACGUAUAUGCUGGUAGGGAUAUGGAGGAACCGACGCCAGGAAAGUGGCGACUUUUAGCCUGACCUUGCGUGGCUCGCGCGAGGGUCGGUCGCGCUGGAAAGGCGAAAACAAUUCAUUGCACCAGCCCCGGGGCCACUUGCUCCACACGCAACAAAGAUACACAUCAUAGAUGUAAUAUGAAAUACUCGCACAGGCAAGCAGCCGCAUGGCGCAGGUGUGCCACGCCGUGCCGUCGCUGGCCGCCCUCGCCGCGCCACCUCGGGGCCACCGGGGCCCGCCCGGCCCCUCCGCCGCGUGCACAGUGGGCCCCUGGGCUCCCGGAUGGCUUUCACAAUGACACCAGCAGCCGCCGCUGAAGUCGCGCCCGGCAGGGCAUAGCACGCAGGAGCCCAGGCCGCGGCGCCACGGUGGGGCCCUGAGCGCUGCCCAGCCAGGCGAGCAGACACUCUUGUGCCAUAGACCGGCGCCCACAGGGGCCUGAAGGCUAUGUGACAAGGCUGUGAUAUACAUCAGGGAUAUAGGACAGCGAAAGGGGGGACGUAAAGCCCAUAUGAUGUACAAAAGUCCCUCUCACCUCCCUCUCACCCUGCAUCACCGCUGCCGCCGCUCGGCAAGCCAGUCACGAGCCCGGCGUGCGACCGGGCGCAGCCCGGCUGCCGGCGUCAUAUUACGGGAAACAUAGGUGACACGUCAGCUGCUGUGCACAAGAGGGUUCAGGGCAUGUGGUUGAGGGCGCGCAGGAGUGCAUGCCUUUAUUUUGUGGGCGUGCGUGUGGGCGUGCCCGCCCGCUGCGGGGCAGCGUGUGCAGCACAACUGCCCCGGGGGCUGUGCGGCGCGCCUGCCCCGCCCCGCGGUGUCAAGCUACACUAGGUGGCAUGCAUACACGGCACUCAGUCCGACAUACCUAGCGGUGCCCUGACCACACGGUGGCCGGGCGCCCGGAAGCCCCUCCGGGCGCAGUGCCCAUAGACGGGCCCAGCGCCUGUGUGGCGGCCCCACAAAUGCCCCAACCUGCUUGGACUAGGCUGGUGACCAUAGACGCAUGCCCACAGCAUACUGGCUGGGCAGGGCGCACAUCGCUGGUUCGCGUGUGGGCAUGUCGGCAUGGUUUGCGGGUCCGCAUCUUGGAAUGAGUCAGCCUACCCCCACUUGAAGGUAUCUUGUUUGCGGUCUUUUACAUGAACGUAUAUGCUGGUAGGGAUAUGGAGGAACCGACGCCAGGAAAGUGGCGACUUUUAGCCUGACCUUGCGUGGCUCGCGCGAGGGUCGGUCGCGCUGGAAAGGCGAAAACAAUUCAGUGCACCACCCCCGGGGCCACUUGCUCCACACGCAACAAAGAUACACAUCAUAGAUGUAAUAUGAAAUACUCGCACAGGCAAGCAGCCGCAUGGCGCAGGUGUGCCACGCCGUGCCGUCGCCGGCCACCCUCGCCGCGCCACCUCGGGGCCACCGGGGCCCGCCCGGCCCCUCCGCCGCGUGCACAGUGGGCCCCUGGGCUCCCGGAUGGCUUUCACAAUGACACCAGCAGCCGCCGCUGAAGUCGCGCCCGGCAGGGCAUAGCACGCAGGAGCCCAGGCCGCGGCGCCACGGUGGGGCCCUGAGCGCUGCCCAGCCAGGCGAGCAGACACUCUUGUGCCAUAGACCGGCGCCCACAGGGGCCUGAAGGCUAUGUGACAAGGCUGUGAUAUACAUUAGGGAUAUAGGACAGCGAAAGGGGGGACGUAAAGCCCAUACGAUGUACAAAAGUCCCUCUCACCUCCCUCUCACCCUGCAUCACCGCUGCCGCCGCUCGGCAAGCCAGUCACGAGCCCGGCGUGCGACCGGGCGCAGCCCGGCUGCCGGCGUCAUAUUACGGGAAACAUAGGUGACACGUCAGCUGCUGUGCACAAGAGGGUUCAGGGCAUGUGGUUGAGGGCGCGCAGGAGUGCAUGCCUUUAUUUUGUGGGCGUGCGUGUGGGCGUGCCCGCCCGCUGCGGGGCAGCGUGUGCAGCACAACUGCCCCGGGGGCUGUGCGGCGCGCCUGCCCCGCCCCGCGGUGUCAAGCUACACUAGGUGGCAUGCAUACACGGCACUCAGCCCGACGUACCUAGCGGUGCCCUGACCACACGGUGGCCGGGCGCCCGGAAGCCCCUCCCGGCGCUGUGCCCAUAGACGGGCCCAGCGCCUGUGUGGCGGCCCCACAAAUGCCCCAACCUGCUUGGACUAGGCUGGUGACCAUAGACGCAUGCCCACAGCAUACUGGCUGGGCAGGGCGCACAUCGCUGGUUCGCGUGUGGGCAUGUCGGCAUGGUUUGCGGGUCCGCAUCUUGGAAUGAGUCGGCCUACCCCCACUUGAAGGUAUCUUGUUUGCGGUCUUUUACAUGAACGUAUAUGCUGAUAGGGAUAUGGAGGAACCGACGCCAGGAAAGUGGCGACUUUUAGCCUGACCUUGCAUGGCUCGCGCGAGGGUCGGUCGCGCUGGAAAGGCGAAAACAAUUCAGUGCACCACCCCCGGGGCCACUUGCUCCACACGCAACAAAGAUACACAUCAUAGAUGUAAUAUGAAAUACUCGCACAGGCAAGCAGCCGCAUGGCGCAGGUGUGCCACGCCGUGCCGUCGCCGGCCACCCUCGCCGCGCCACCUCGGGGCCACCGGGGCCCGCCCGGCCCCUCCGCCGCGUGCACAGUGGGCCCCUGGGCUCCCGGAUGGCUUUCACAAUGACACCAGCAGCCGCCGCUGAAGUCGCGCCCGGCAGGGCAUAGCACGCAGGAGCCCAGGCCGCGGCGCCACGGUGGGGCCCUGAGCGCUGCCCAGCCAGGCGAGCAGACACUCUUGUGCCAUAGACCGGCGCCCACAGGGGCCUGAAGGCUAUGUGACAAGGCUGUGAUAUACAUCAGGGAUAUAGGACAGCGAAAGGGGGGACGUAAAGCCCAUAUGAUGUACAAAAGUCCCUCUCACCUCCCUCUCACCCUGCAUCACCGCUGCCGCCGCUCGGCAAGCCAGUCACGAGCCCGGCGUGCGACCGGGCGCAGCCCGGCUGCCGGCGUCAUAUUACGGGAAACAUAGGUGACACGUCAGCUGCUGUGCACAAGAGGGUUCAGGGCAUGUGGUUGAGGGCGCGCAGGAGUGCAUGCCUUUAUUUUGUGGGCGUGCGUGUGGGCGUGCCCGCCCGCUGCGGGGCAGCGUGUGCAGCACAACUGCCCCGGGGGCUGUGCGGCGCGCCUGCCCCGCCCCGCGGUGUCAAGCUACACUAGGUGGCAUGCAUACACGGCACUCAGUCCGACAUACCUAGCGGUGCCCUGACCACACGGUGGCCGGGCGCCCGGAAGCCCCUCCGGGCGCAGUGCCCAUAGACGGGCCCAGCGCCUGUGUGGCGGCCCCACAAAUGCCCCAACCUGCUUGGACUAGGCUGGUGACCAUAGACGCAUGCCCACAGCAUACUGGCUGGGCAGGGCGCACAUCGCUGGUUCGCGUGUGGGCAUGUCGGCAUGGUUUGCGGGUCCGCAUCUUGGAAUGAGUCAGCCUACCCCCACUUGAAGGUAUCUUGUUUGCGGUCUUUUACAUGAACGUAUAUGCUGGUAGGGAUAUGGAGGAACCGACGCCAGGAAAGUGGCGACUUUUAGCCUGACCUUGCGUGGCUCGCGCGAGGGUCGGUCGCGCUGGAAAGGCGAAAACAAUUCAUUGCACCAGCCCCGGGGCCACUUGCUCCACACGCAACAAAGAUACACAUCAUAGAUGUAAUAUGAAAUACUCGCACAGGCAAGCAGCCGCAUGGCGCAGGUGUGCCACGCCGUGCCGUCGCCGGCCGCCCUCGCCGCGCCACCUCGGGGCCACCGGGGCCCGCCCGGCCCCUCCGCCGCGUGCACAGUGGGCCCCUGGGCUCCCGGAUGGCUUUCACAAUGACACCAGCAGCCGCCGCUGAAGUCGCGCCCGGCAGGGCAUAGCACGCAGGAGCCCAGGCCGCGGCGCCACGGUGGGGCCCUGAGCGCUGCCCAGCCAGGCGAGCAGACACUCUUGUGCCAUAGACCGGCGCCCACAGGGGCCUGAAGGCUAUGUGACAAGGCUGUGAUAUACAUCAGGGAUAUAGGACAGCGAAAGGGGGGACGUAAAGCCCAUACGAUGUACAAAAGUCCCUCUCACCUCCCUCUCACCCUGCAUCACCGCUGCCGCCGCUCGGCAAGCCAGUCACGAGCCCGGCGUGCGACCGGGCGCAGCCCGGCUGCCGGCGUCAUAUUACGGGAAACAUAGGUGACACGUCAGCUGCUGUGCACAAGAGGGUUCAGGGCAUGUGGUUGAGGGCGCGCAGGAGUGCAUGCCUUUAUUUUGUGGGCGUGCGUGUGGGCGUGCCCGCCCGCUGCGGGGCAGCGUGUGCAGCACAACUGCCCCGGGGGCUGUGCGGCGCGCCUGCCCCGCCCCGCGGUGUCAAGCUACACUAGGUGGCAUGCAUACACGGCACUCAGCCCGACAUACCUAGCGGUGCCCUGACCACACGGUGGCCGGGCGCCCGGAAGCCCCUCCGGGCGCAGUGCCCAUAGACGGGCCCAGCGCCUGUGUGGCGGCCCCACAAAUGCCCCAACCUGCUUGGACUAGGCUGGUGACCAUAGACGCAUGCCCACAGCAUACUGGCUGGGCAGGGCGCACAUCGCUGGUUCGCGUGUGGGCAUGUCGGCAUGGUUUGCGGGUCCGCAUCUUGGAAUGAGUCGGCCUACCCCCACUUGAAGGUAUCUUGUUUGCGGUCUUUUACAUGAACGUAUAUGCUGGUAGGGAUAUGGAGGAACCGACGCCAGGAAAGUGGCGACUUUUAGCCUGACCUUGCGUGGCUCGCGCGAGGGUCGGUCGCGCUGGAAAGGCGAAAACAAUUCAUUGCACCAGCCCCGGGGCCACUUGCUCCACACGCAACAAAGAUACACAUCAUAGAUGUAAUAUGAAAUACUCGCACAGGCAAGCAGCCGCAUGGCGCAGGUGUGCCACGCCGUGCCGUCGCUGGCCGCCCUCGCCGCGCCACCUGUCUAGUCUGUGCAGCGCUCGUAUCUUACGAAGGCAGGGGCGGCGUCAGUGGCCGAAUUCCUUAAUAUGGCUUCGUUUGGUAGACGUCUUGACGAAACAGGCUGCCGCCGCUUCGUUCACCCCAAAAAUGUUCCGGGGGCUCCGCCCCCGACCCGCACGGUUCGUGUGCGGCGGUGUCGGCGAUCUCGGCGGACACCAAUUGCGCGGGAAUAUAACAGUGAACCCAAUGCCCCAGAACAUUCUCAGAUGUCGACACCGACACGACACGCCCACUCCUCCCCUGCUUCCCGCCGACCCAACCUCACUCUCCCGCCGUCAACACCCAUAGAUACAGCCCUCUGAGCCUUCUCACCAUAUGCCACGCAGGUUUUGGCCGUGGAGUAGCCGCUGGAACCCCCUUGUCCUUCGGCCAAAAGUGGCCGAAAUCCCAAAACUGUCUUCGUCUGUUUGCCGAAAAAACCCCCAAGAUCCCGCGCGUUUUGGCCGAAAUUUCAAGUCAAGAUCAAAAUAAUUUCUUCCGCCAGAGGCCCUUUUUGGCAAAUUUCGUUCCGAACGAAGGAAGAUACGAGCGCUGAGUCUGCAGUGCCCUUCAAAGUAUGAGAUGACUUUGUUAUCUUGAGUCCUGAGUUUGUGCUACUUGAAGUGCAUGUUGGUAUGAUUGGAGCGGUGCGCGUUUUAAUACUCGCGGCGCAAACCAGCCGUUGGCCGUUGGGCCGCGCGUAGAUGGCGGAAGGCCUGCACCUGCCUUCCCCCGCCCCCCACCAAGUGGGGCACCCUGGCAUCCGCCGCUUUCAUCCCCAGCAGCAAGAGCCCGUACAUACACAUCCUACUGAUCAAGGCCAUGUUUACAAAAUGAUUCCACGGCAAGUACGCCUGAAUGCCGACCGCCCGUGUUUUGGCCCAACCCACAUGCACGCGGCUCUCACACGCGGCGUGCACAGUCACAGCGACAGUCUCACAUGUGCACAGGCUCAGCUAGCUUCCCAAGCAGCACAUGACAAACAUAAAUGCACAAACAAAUCAUGUGCCCCCGCGCCAGCAAAGCAUUUCAAC